UGUGCUGCCAGGCCGUGCGCAGGCGCGGAGGCGGUCCCUGAGCGCCUUCCAAGUCGCGAAUACCUCUGUACAGGCGCCCCAGCCUUCAUUACCCACUAGCGGCGUGGGCAGGACUUGGCCUGCUAAAUUGCGAUUAGGAUCCGACCCGGUUUUGGCUGAGAGGAGGCAGCAAGGACGACACUUGGGCAUAUUCGCAGAAGAAACCAAAAGACAGCUGCUAUGAAGACUCUCACGGAUCCUGCCACAUGCCCUGCUAUCCUUCAUAACUCGCAUUAGUGCCAAGUUGACCUGACCCCUUCCUAGGACCUGACUUUCCCAUAAAACCAAAACCAAAGGCUGCAGUCAGAGACAGUGUUACCACAUACUUACUAGGCCCAUUCUUCCAGAAUCCCUUUCCCCCGGGAUGUCCCUGGAACUUUUUUGUUCUGAUUUUCCAAAACAGGGUCUCACUAUUUAACUGUGGCUGACCAGGAACGUAGCAGUUUAUACCAGACUGGCUGGGACUAAAGCUGCGCCAUCAUGCCCGACUUGAUUGGGUCCUCUUAGACACCUUCUAAAGCCAAAAUUAUGAUAUACUAUGUCUACAAAUCUAGUUAGGUGAUGUCAGCCGACCUUGGGCCCAUUUCUUCUGAGCACCUUGUCCUCGAGAGCCUGUAACCAGGCAGGCAAAGGCCUGGCUGGAGGGAGAUUAACACAGAAGCUUACAACUAGGCAGGCAAAAGCCUGGCUGAAGAAAGAUUAAAAAGAAAGGGAGCAUAGGCCCACUACCCAGAGAUAAGAGUGACAAUGUGUGGUGUGUGGCAAAGUGUGAUUAGCAAGAUUUAGCAAGCUACUUAAGGGACCAGCUCAGAACUGGGAAUUUUAGAGUGUACCAAGACUCUGUGUCCUGGAGCUCUGAAACAACCAGUCCAUCAAGAUGACAGCCACCUGUUCAUAAACCUGCUACCACGACUUUGGGCCCUCAGGAGCCUGAAUUCAGAGGAACACAAGUCCCUGCCCAAGCCUGAAACAGCAGCAAACUGGCAGCCACUGCAGGAGAGAUGGUCGUAGGCAACACCUGCAAAGGGUUAUGACCCACAGGUUGAGAACUGCGCUGCUCAAGAUGAACUCCUCACUUCAAAGUCAUCUGGCUAACAAUCCUUGCCAUGUUGGGAGGUGGUAUUCAUAACUUUCAGGGGUUUGAAUUGAUGCUCUUAGGACAGUCAUUUUCCUGCCUACCAUGCUCCUCAUAUACAAGACUGAAUGUGGUAGUACUUCAGUGCCACCAGAAACCUAUUGAGUCUCCAAGGUGGAGUUGAAAGCAAUCAGCAGGAGAAACCUCGCUUGUUCACUGGGAUAUGUGCUCCACUGUGUUUAUUGUUGGGCAAGCCCACCAAUGCCUGGCCUUUUCUAACUUCUUACUCCCUUAGGUCCAGUGUCUGCUUUGCUGGCUAGAAUUCCUGAGAUACCAACACAGCAGACAAGCAUCUCUUCUCAAGAAUCUCACACUAUGGGUUUAAAACAUCUAAGUCAUUCAGAAGACAUCUUAUUUCUGAGCAUGUUGGCACACACUUAUGAUCCCAACACUUUGAAGGCAGUGCCAAGAGGAUCUUGACUUAAAGACCAACACAAGUGCUCCCUCAAGGCUGUCUGAAAAACAAACCAAGACAUUUUCUUACUGGGCAUGGUGGCACAGGCCUUUAGUCCCAGCACUCUGGUGGCAAAGGCAAGUGGAUUUCUGUGAGUUCAAUGCCCACCCUGGUGUACACCAAGGCUAUGUGUACAUACUCUGUCUCAAGAACUAAACUCUCUCUCUCUCUCUCUUUUUUUUUUUUUCCGAGACAGGGUUUCUCUGUGUAGUUUUGUUGAGCAGGCUGACCUCGAACUCACAGAGAUUCGCCUGCCUCUGCCUCCUGAGUGCUGGGAUUAAAGGCAGGCACCACCAUCACCCAGCUUCUCAAACUGAUCCUAAACUGAAAACUGCAAAAAACUAUUUUAAGUAUCAGAGGAACUUUUCUGGUGGAUAAGUUGGUCAUCCAGAAUUAGAAACAGGAGGGAUAUGCAGAACUUUUUUUUGGUGGGGGGGGCCUUUUUCUUUGCAAACUAAAAAAAAAAAAAAAAAAAAAAA